AUACGUAGGUGGCAAGCGUUGUCCGGAAUUAUUGGGCGUAAAGCGCGCGCAGGUGGUUCCUUAAGUCUGAUGUGAAAGCCCCCGGCUCAACCGGGGAGGGUCAUUGGAAACUGGGGAACUUGAGUGCAGAAGAGGAUAGUGGAAUUCCAAGUGUAGCGGUGAAAUGCGUAGAGAUUUGGAGGAACACCAGUGGCGAAGGCGACUGUCUGGUCUGUAACGGACACUGAGGCGCGAAAGCGUGGGGAGCAAACAGGAUUAGAUACCCUGGUAGUCCACGCUGUAAACGAUGAGUGCUAAGUGUUGGGGGGUUUCCGCCCCUCAGUGCUGCAGCUAACGCAUUAAGCACUCCGCCUGGGGAGUACGGUCGCAAGACUGAAACUCAAAUGAAUUGACGGGG
rnacentral:rRNA from 1 species